UCGCUUACUCCAUUUUCAUCUCUUCAUACAGGAACAGAGCAGGCGGACAAUCUUCCCACCUCUCCUCGACUCAUUAAAACCCAUUUGCCAUACCAGUUAGUGCCGAAGUCCUUCUGGGAGCAAAACUGUCGGAGAUCAACAAGGAUGGUAUCUCAUGUUGAAGACUACACAACCGGGACCCGCUCAACGGUUCAGGGGAAGGUUUGCCCUCAUCCUGAGGUGAGAAGGAGAACAAGGAGCGUGGUCAUGAGUUGUGCAUGAGUGGACACAAGAUGAGAAGAAGCUAAUCAGAGGGAGAAGACACCAAAAAGCUUGCAUGAUUUUGUAGUAGUAUAUAAGUCUGGGUCAGGGUGAAACUAGGCGUAGUCAGACUUCAUGAACUGGCGGUGUCUCUGUUGCUGUUAGGGAAAUGGGUUUGGACCCAGAAUUCUGUUCUGUUAUAUUCAAUCUCUUGCUAAAUAAACAUUUGUAGUGAGACCUAAAUACCUUCUCAUGCUUCAUUCAAUGAACGCACAGGAUCUCACACAGUCUAUUUUGCUGGUAGAUUGGGACUGAGCUUCAACAAUAACCAACUGUGUUUUAUGAUAACAAGUUCUCUUGGGCCUAACCUAGGUAUUGCUCCUCAAGCUUCUAAGAUGAGAUUUCAUUUUCGAAUAAAGGAGGUCCUCAGUUUGCGAUGUCCUCAGCCUACAACGUUUCGUUGUUACGUCGGAACUGGUUACGGGCCGGUCCUCGGUUUGAGGUAUGGGGUUUCGUCAUUAUGUAAGAAGUGGUUAUGUGGAACUACUUGGCGAGCGGAAGAAUGUG